GGUUAAGCGACUAAGCGUACACGGUGGAUGCCCUGGCAGUCAGAGGCGAUGAAGGACGUGCUAAUCUGCGAUAAGCGUCGGUAAGGUGAUAUGAACCGUUAUAACCGGCGAUUUCCGAAUGGGGAAACCCAGUGUGUUUCGACACACUAUCAUUAACUGAAUCCAUAGGUUAAUGAGGCGAACCGGGGGAACUGAAACAUCUAAGUACCCCGAGGAAAAGAAAUCAACCGAGAUUCCCCCAGUAGCGGCGAGCGAACGGGGAGCAGCCCAGAGCCUGAAUCAGUGUGUGUGUUAGUGGAAGCGUCUGGAAAGGCGCGCGAUACAGGGUGACAGCCCCGUACACAAAAAUGCACAUGCUGUGAGCUCGAUGAGUAGGGCGGGACACGUGGUAUCCUGUCUGAAUAUGGGGGGACCAUCCUCCAAGGCUAAAUACUCCUGACUGACCGAUAGUGAACCAGUACCGUGAGGGAAAGGCGAAAAGAACCCCGGCGAGGGGAGUGAAAAAGAACCUGAAACCGUGUACGUACAAGCAGUGGGAGCACGCUUAGGCGUGUGACUGCGUACCUUUUGUAUAAUGGGUCAGCGACUUAUAUUCUGUAGCAAGGUUAACCGAAUAGGGGAGCCGAAGGGAAACCGAGUCUUAACUGGGCGUUAAGUUGCAGGGUAUAGACCCGAAACCCGGUGAUCUAGCCAUGGGCAGGUUGAAGGUUGGGUAACACUAACUGGAGGACCGAACCGACUAAUGUUGAAAAAUUAGCGGAUGACUUGUGGCUGGGGGUGAAAGGCCAAUCAAACCGGGAGAUAGCUGGUUCUCCCCGAAAGCUAUUUAGGUAGCGCCUCGUGAAUUCAUCUCCGGGGGUAGAGCACUGUUUCGGCAAGGGGGUCAUCCCGACUUACCAACCCGAUGCAAACUGCGAAUACCGGAGAAUGUUAUCACGGGAGACACACGGCGGGUGCUAACGUCCGUCGUGAAGAGGGAAACAACCCAGACCGCCAGCUAAGGUCCCAAAGUCAUGGUUAAGUGGGAAACGAUGUGGGAAGGCCCAGACAGCCAGGAUGUUGGCUUAGAAGCAGCCAUCAUUUAAAGAAAGCGUAAUAGCUCACUGGUCGAGUCGGCCUGCGCGGAAGAUGUAACGGGGCUAAACCAUGCACCGAAGCUGCGGCAGCGACACUAUGUGUUGUUGGGUAGGGGAGCGUUCUGUAAGCCUGUGAAGGUGUGCUGUGAGGCAUGCUGGAGGUAUCAGAAGUGCGAAUGCUGACAUAAGUAACGAUAAAGCGGGUGAAAAGCCCGCUCGCCGGAAGACCAAGGGUUCCUGUCCAACGUUAAUCGGGGCAGGGUGAGUCGACCCCUAAGGCGAGGCCGAAAGGCGUAGUCGAUGGGAAACAGGUUAAUAUUCCUGUACUUGGUGUUACUGCGAAGGGGGGACGGAGAAGGCUAUGUUGGCCGGGCGACGGUUGUCCCGGUUUAAGCGUGUAGGCUGGUUUUCCAGGCAAAUCCGGAAAAUCAAGGCUGAGGCGUGAUGACGAGGCACUACGGUGCUGAAGCAACAAAUGCCCUGCUUCCAGGAAAAGCCUCUAAGCAUCAGGUAACAUCAAAUCGUACCCCAAACCGACACAGGUGGUCAGGUAGAGAAUACCAAGGCGCUUGAGAGAACUCGGGUGAAGGAACUAGGCAAAAUGGUGCCGUAACUUCGGGAGAAGGCACGCUGAUAUGUAGGUGAAGUCCCUCGCGGAUGGAGCUGAAAUCAGUCGAAGAUACCAGCUGGCUGCAACUGUUUAUUAAAAACACAGCACUGUGCAAACACGAAAGUGGACGUAUACGGUGUGACGCCUGCCCGGUGCCGGAA
rnacentral:rRNA from 1 species